rnacentral:snoRNA from 1 species
CUGCGAAUAUUCUCACUGUUCUGAUUUUGUAAUAAUUAGGGCAGGUCAAAUGUUCACUAUGUUAAGACUGUGCAUGUGUUCCCAGACCUAGUUCUUUACCUAGGUCUGGGUUUAUAAAUGCUGGUGAUAAAC